rnacentral:rRNA from 1 species
GAUCCUGGCUCAGAUUGAACGCUGGCGGCAGGCCUAACACAUGCAAGUCGAACGGUAACAGGAAGCAGCUUGCUGCUUCGCUGACGAGUGGCGGACGGGUGAGUAAUGUCUGGGAAGCUGCCUGAUGGAGGGGGAUAACUACUGGAAACGGUAGCUAAUACCGCAUAAUGUCGCAAGACCAAAGAGGGGGACCUUCGGGCCUCUUGCCAUCGGAUGUGCCCAGAUGGGAUUAG